rnacentral:lncRNA from 1 species
CAAUGGCAGGCACAGCUGUGUUUGAUAUAUCCAUUCAGAUCAGAUCAGCUAUUAUUAACACAUGGAUGCUCUUAUACUGACAGGUCUGAUGGAUGAUAAAAGGCACGCGACAUUGCCACAGACAAGCAACAUGACCUGAAGAAGCAAGUGCUUUUGUGCUUCUUGUGGUGAUAUGGGUGUUCAGUUCAAGUCCUACCUUGUUGUGAAGCCUCAGGGUCCCUUCUGGCAUCUACUGGUCUCUGGACAAUUCCAGCACUAAAUUCUGGACCACAAAGCCUAGCACUCACACUCCUAUCUGCUGAUCGUUUCUACGACAUUCUUUGCUUUGUCAUGGGCAGACACAUCAAUGAAUUUUUUUUUCCUGACUCACUAAUCUUUUAUCAUACAAAAAUGCCUGAUGUGUUUUUUUUUUUUAAAGAACGCUAAAUCACUACAGCACCCAAACUUUCAAAGUAAGAAAUAAUUUUGCUAAAUGGCAUGCAAAUGGUAUUAUGGUCAGGAUCUAGGAAAACUGGAAUCCUGCGCUGGACUUCCUGGAAAGCUCCCAAUGGAGAAUACAGAUGGUCCUUGAUUUAGGGUGAUUUGACUCAUGAUAUUUUUUACUUUCCCAUGUCGUGACAUGAUACACAUUCAACAGUGAAGCACACCCAACACAUUCAUAUGCACCAGGGACAAUAGUUAAGCAAAAUUAAGUAGACUAUUCAUUGCUGGCUGGGCUUGAGCUGGGAACUCAAUAAGAAGAAAUUAUGAAUGGAACUCAACCACAUAGAUCAGGCUCUUUCUUUAUCAAUCUAAUAAGAACUAAGAAACUUCUGUCCAACAAGCAACCUGACACAUGGAGCAGGAGGCAUAUUGAGAAAGCAGCAGAAAAGCAGCAAGAGAGAGAAUGCUUGCUUCCACUGCCUGGUCCUGAGCUGGCCCAGAGAGCUGUGGGAAGUGAGCCCUGUGUGCCUGUGAAAAACCAGAGCAGGAAAGACCAGGCUCUGUUCUUUCCACAACUAAAG